GCAAGUAAGUGAGACAAUCGCCCCGCAAUACUGCGGGGAGGAAAGUCCGGACACUCCCCCGUAAUUUUUGCGGGGAGCCGGGUAGCGGCUCCGACGCGCGAAAAAGGUCGGAGCCCCGACUUUCGGCGAAAGCCGAAACGUCGGGGGUAACGCCAGCACGCCGCAAGGCGAGAGAUGCGAACAGAGACGGUUUAAUCCGAAAGGAUUAGACUAUCCUGAGUAAAAUCAGGAUAAGCCUUUGGAAUAAAUUCGGGGCUUGCUCCGAGCGAAGCCGAAGGGUGAAACGGCUAAAUUCUUACCCGAGUGCAAGGUUAAACCUAUGAGAUAUAAAGCUUUUAUCUCAUAGACGAAAAGUAGACCGCUUGAGCUCAGCGGUAACGUUGGGCCCAGAUAGAUGAUUGUCUCCCCGCAAUCCGCCGUUUGGCGGAUGCGGGGAACAGAAUCCGGCUUACGGCUUGCUUGCUCCU
rnacentral:ncRNA from 6 species